AGAUUUAACCUCUUUCAGUUUGUGGAUAUUUAUUAGUUUGAGAGUACAAUUCUGAUUUUUUUUUUUUAUCUACUUGUGUACUUUAAGUAUUGGAUUAUAAAUCCUUUUUCUUAAUAUAUUAACAUCUAGUUAAUUCAGCGUGGUUUUACUUUAAGCUUGUUAGUGAAAUAUUGAAAAUCUAGCUUAGUAUAAAGCCAUAAGAAGCACCCAGCAUCCUUAUCACUUGUCUUUUUUUUUUCAUGGAUAAAGUUCCUUUCAUUUGUCAAAACCAUUGUUAUUUUUUUGGAAAAGCAUGUUCCAAGUGAAGUUUGUUUUCUAGCUGAAAAAAAAAAUUACUGCUUAUUGAUCUGUGUUAGCCUUAGAAAGCACUAAUUUCUAAGUGCUUAUUUUAUUUUGUAUUAGCUCAGUUCUGUGAGUAGUGGGUCUCAUUGCUGGAAAGUGGGGAACCAAACAAGAAAUUUUUUUGAAAGGGAGUACACAGAUCUGUGUGUUAUAUGGUAUCAAGAUUAGUAGGAUUCUAUUAAUAUUUCAUUAAAUAGAGAGGUGGGAGAAAGAUUGCUGUACCAGCUACCACUGAAUAAGCAAUAAGAUAAUAUGAUCAGGAAUCUGCACCCCAGAGGUGUUAAGGACACCUGAAACUUCUGCUGAAGUGGCUAAUUAAAUAAUGAAGUUGUAGAAAUACAGCUAACAGCUGGAAAAGUAAAAGUAGCAGUUACUAGGAGGUGUUCCUCUGCUACUAACUCGUGGAUUCCCUUAACAGCUGAGUUGAUUUCUUCAAACAGGUCAAUCUCACCUUUCAUAAGUCACGCUGUUAUCUGGCAUUUUAUAGAAGUCAUGUAGUGAUGAUGUUAAAGAAAAAGACAAAUUUACUGCCUGAGCCAGAAGGCAGGCUUACAAAAAGCAACUUCUUUCAGGACACGAAAAGCUCUUUGUUCUGUGGCCUUGGUCUUUUUGUGCUUUGACCCUUAUUUUAUAGCAUUGUCACUCUGACCUUAAAUCUUUGAAAGCAGACAAGCAGCAAAUUUAGCCCUUUACAAGUGGGGUUUCAUUCUGAGCUAUGGGCCUGGUUUUUAUCUUCAGGCAUUAUAGUCCCAUACAAUACUGAGAUGUAACAAAAUCUCAAUUUAAGAUUUGUGGUUUGGCAUACUGUAAAUAGUUAUUAUUUUUAUAUAAGGCAAUUAAAAAAAAAUGUUGCUCUGUUACUGGCCUAUGGUUUGUAAUUAUUCACCAAUUUGAGAUAAGACAGCAACUAGGAAGACAGUCUGGCUAAUACUGACCAAUAUAUUUUUCACUUUCCUAGAAGUACUUUGGAAAUUGAUCCUAUGCACAGACCACCAGGGUUUCUGCACAAAUGACUUGAAUAUUCCAUUGAGGACAAGAAAUGCUUUGCUAUAUAUUCUAGAGUUAGAAGAUUAAAACAACAGUACUUGCAUGGCCUUCUUUCAUAAAAGGCUGUGCCAACUUAGGGGAGCACAAAAUUUUAUACAAGAACUGCAGUCUUAAACAGCAAUUAAAAAUCUCACUGUUCCUUCAGGAGAAGAGCAAUCAAGUUCCAGUACAUAUUUUUUUCAAAGAGCAUUCCUGACUUGUAUAUGUGAGCUGCUUCUGUGGAAUUUCACUUUUGCAUCUUUUGUCUAGCUGUCUCUCAUCCACAGAUUUAAGACACAAGGAUGGAGCACAGUUUCUUCAGGGGGGAGACCAACUGUCAGAGCACACGUUUACAGUAUAGGUUUAUUUUGACUUAGCACUCCUGCUUUAAUUCACCAUGAUAGCCCUGUUAAUUUGCAGAAGUUGUUUGUCGUGACCUGACUAGAAGGCUUAUUGCAGUGGAGUGGCAUGCUUGGUUCCAUGCUGUGAGAAUCUUUCAUUGAGAUGAUUGAAGUUGCUGCAAUGAGAAUGAAAAUUACUUGGGCUCCUUUCCUUUUAAAAGCUGUAUGCGAGAACUGUGUGGUGAGUCAAAUGUAGACUAAUGGUUAUGUAAAUGUCACUAAUUUUAGAUACAGAUCUGAAAGUGUGUUUCCUUUUAAGAUUUUAUUUUCUUCACUAUCAUGACUCAGUAUCACUUGCUAAUCUAAUUUUAUUAGCCCUGUUGUAUUUCACCAUUUAAAAUACACAUACCUAUUCAAAUAGGUGAUCACAGAGUCAAGCUAAUAUAUCAUAUAGAUGUUUUAAAAGGAGGAAAAUAAGCUUAUCUGCACUCCAGAUUUGUUUUGAUUUUAGCCUUCACAGAACUGCUACUGGGGCAGUUGCACAGGUACAAACAUGAUGUAGAUGAGUAUGAAUCCAAGUUGUUAUAAUUCAUCAGUUGGCAUUAUUUGACCAUAUUUCAGAAUUUCAGAUUGGUAAAAAUCACACUCUCAUUUUCUACUACUGCUAUGAAUUUGAACUGGCAAAAUUACUAACAGCUAAAAUUUCCAAUUUAGUUCAGACCUCAGCAGUUCUCAACAGCACAGCUAUGCAGAAUUAGAUAGCCUGCAGUUUUUCAUGAAGAACAUUUGUGUGCACAUUUACCUACUACAUUUCUCUUAAGAUACAUGACCAAAAUGAGGUUGACUACUUAAAAAAAAAUCCUAUCUGGCUCAAAGUUGGAUAGCUUUCUCAUUGACUUUAUUUAGGUAGCACUAUGUAACUGCUAAGUAUUGAAGACCUGCACAUACACUUCAGCCAACUGAAGACUUAGAAAUGCUUGGAAAGACCUUAAAGGUCUCUGCUUUUUUUCAUCAUGCUGCAGACUAGUGCUUCAAGGAGGCCCAUCCAUCCAGUUGCUCUUGCAGAUCUAGUAUUUUAAUGUACCCAGGAUUUUUCCCAGAGACUUCCAUGAGUAGAUGUGAAUCUAAAGAGCUCAGAGACUUGAGAGUGUGCAACAAAUUGCUCUAUUUGCAUGGCUUUGUCAAAGUCCAGUGGCCAAACUGUUCCUGACUACUUCAUUGUGCUCAUGUUGGCCUUUGUGUGAAGAGUGAAAAAGACUGUGCUUCCUUCUGGUUCACCAUGCAAACUCCUAUCACUGGCACAAGGGCAGGAAAUAGCAGGGAGCAGGAAGAAGCAGAAGGGCAAAGGUUGGAGCGCCUUGUUCGGUGGCCCUAGCAGCAUAGAAUAGUUCAGUGACAUGGUGAAAACACAGUUUGAGCGUUUGCAGAACCAGAGUUCAGCUGAGGAACCAAAGUUCCUGUCUGGAUAUGAAAACUGCUUCAAGUGCUUAUGAAGGCCUACUCAAAUUAUUCCGUUUCUAAACCUUUGAAAAGGAUGUUACAUUUCUCACGUGUUUCACAGGUGGCUUAAUAUUAGUUAUAUUUUCCAGAGGUUUGCCUGUAUGGGUGGUGCCAGAGACUGUGGCUGGAUCAAAUUCACUUCAUGUUGCAGCUCUGGGGUCCUAAGGACUGUGCCUGAUGUAAGAAAGAAAGGCUCACUGUUUUCAGUUCAGGCGUUUAUUUUCUGCUAGGCUUAGGAACUGUAUGGGAAAAAGAUGUUUAAUUUACAUAAAAAGGCAAGAAGAGAUAGGCCUGCUUGAAAAUAAACUGAGCUAAUAGCUGUAUAUGAGUGAAGAGAGCUAGUCUAAAAGUGCAAUGUUAAAAGGUUGGCUGAGAACAGAUACAGGAAGGACAGAUCUGAUGAACUGGAAAAUCAGAAGGAUUGAAAUACAUUGGGCAAAGAUUUGGGGGUGGGUUUGUUUAUUGAAAUUGGAAGAAGCAGCAGCCUGACAGAGGGGAUCUGGCUUGAGGCAAAGAGAACAAGUCAGGCUUAGGGAAAGAGGCUUGCACCCUUAGACGAUUCCUAACAUUUCACUGGCGCACUCUGCACUUCACAUCCAGAAGGGAAUACAGACUGUCAAGUAGCAGCUUUUGCUCUCAUAUGGGAAAUCACGCCCCCCCCCCCGUUGUAUUCCACAGAGAAGAGAGUAAGCCUAUUAGUACCCUCAGCUACUUCAUGAAUUUUGGUCCUGAAAAGAAAUCUCCAAGUAAGAGUAGUUGAGGUUGUCAGGGAGAUCUCUAGUUCAAACUGAGUAGUUUCUUUAAGGCUAUGUCCAGUCAAUUUUGAAUAUAUUCAAGGAUGGAGACUCUGCAGCCUGUUCUGUUCAGCUGGACUUUCAUGCACUUCAUUUCUUACCCAUGGCCUCUUGUCCUGUUUCUGGACAGAGAAGAGCCUGGCUAUGUCUUCUUUACUCUGCCGUGCCCCCACCAGCAGGCAUUUCGAAACAUUGCUGAGAUCACACAAACACAAGCCCUUUCUUCUCCAGGCUGGAGUCUCAGCUCACUCAGCCUUUCUUCAUGUGAAAGAUUCUUCAGUUCUCUCAUCGUCUUUGUGGAAGUACAUAAAAUGCUUCAUCUAAUAAGGGGAAUUAGAAGUCAAAGGAGGAAAUGUUUUUUGAGGGGGAAAAAAAACAAAGCACAAGAUAAUAACUGUAAAAAGAACAAGAAGAUCACAAAAUGAAACAUUAAGAAGUUAGAUAACUCCUGCUUUAGGAUUCUGCAAUCUUCAUUUGCCCCCUUGUGUCAGUAUACCAUGAAGCAAUCUUCAUGAUCACACAGAAUGUUUAAUCUAUUGGUAUGUGGUGUUUAUUUUUCUGCCUUUGUUCUUGCGUGAUGCUGGACAAGUAACCAGGCCAUUGUUUCUGAAGCACGUAUAUCGUGCUUUACUUUAGAGGUGUCUGAUUUAGGACUCACAUCUGAAAAAAACACUGCUGGUUCACAUUGAGCUUCUUAGGAGUUGUCAUUUGAAUUAAAAUGCUCUGUGAAGUUAUGUCUGCUGACAGUCUCCUCUCUUUUUAAAGAGAGCUUCAAACUGUUGCAUACUAUAACGUUUCUACACCUCAGUAUCACAUUUAAAGUAGGUAAUGGACACAUGCCUUGAAGGCCUGUUUUACCUACUUUUGUUUAGUAGCUGUACUACAGUAAUGCCUCAUGGAAUUUUCUAUGGCAUUUAUUAAUUCUGAUUUCAGAGGAAGAGGUGAGUACUGUGCAUCUUUUAAGGACCAGAUCUGCAAUCAACUUUCCUUGUUACCAGCUCAGGCUGGGAAGCAGAGUUUCUGUGCUGUUUGUUCAUGGUCUAUUUCUGCAGUCCUGUGAACUCCAAAAUACUCAGAUUUGUGUCCUGUCUUUUCACUGAUUCAUUUUGCAAAUAUAACUCAUUAUUAAACGCCUGUGUGUGCCAUUUUUUGCUUGUCAUUUUUUUUAAGUAACAUCAUCAACAUUGUGCAAAAUGUUCUAUGUAGUGAAGGUAUACACGUUUGAACUUCAGCAUAUUUGAUAAUAAAUUUACCUGUGGAGAUCUAUUUUACAGAAAGAAUGAGCUAUUUAAAUUGCAACAAUUUCUUAAUGUACAGUGGUAAGACUGCAUCUCCAAAAAUAUGAAGUUACUUAUACCUAAGUAUUUAGGACUUCUACCACCAUUUUCUUCAAAAUGUGCCUAUGGCACACUUUGGUAAAUGAGAGUUGUCUGUAUUAGAAAUUUGGAUACAGUGAUCUGAAGAUGUUUCAGCUUUUCCCUUAGUCAUGGUAUCUUGAGUAUUGGAGAAAAUCUCUUCUAACCAGGUAGCAACAUUAGCAGUAGUAGUUGAAUUGAAGUGUUUAGACUCCCUUUAUCUUCAUUGUAACCUAUUGUCACAGAAGUCAAAAGAAAUUAUAGAAAUGUGCCCAAAGUGGUGAGCUCUAUUGUACCAGUUUAACAGCAGCAGCAAUUCUUCAUGUAAAACACAAACAAAACAUUUAAAAUGUAUUUGAAGGAAAACUUAUGUCUGAGAUAUCUGUGAAUCUCCUUGCCAAGGUGGCAGUUGUAAGUGUAUCGAAAUAAAAUAUUUAAAUAUAAAGAGAAAUGAGAAAAAGUGCUGGAAAAAUGCAAUGGCAUGAGUGACAUUACUCAUCUUUCUGUGAGGGGAUAAUAAUCAUCGGAGUACUUAUUUUUCACUCUAAAUAGUUUAUUUCUGUUAGAAACUAUUUAAUGGUCGUCAGGUGCAAUUCUUUUUUUUUCCCCAUGUUUUAUUCACUUAUAAUUAAUAGCUCUGUAUUUGUUAAUAAAUAAAAUUAAAUUUCUUAUAUUGCUUCUGCCUCUUAAUGUAAGAUUUGAACUUUUAUGUUCAAAAGUUCUGAAAUUACAUUAAUUAUAGCAGCAUUUAUCUACUUUGGAUCUUCAGUCUAAAGUAUACAGUGCAUAGUAGGUGAAGGCUUAGUUUCUCUUGAGAGAUAGGAAUAAUAUAUCCAUAGUGUUUUCUUCUGCUCUUUAUAGCCAUAGGAGUCAGACAUGGAUAGAAAGCUUCUGAUUUCCCUAUGUUUCUGCGGGGUGAGUAUGUGGCUUUAUUGCCCAUAAAAGAACCUUCUGUUAGCAGGUUUUAUACUUUUAAGUGGUUUUAAAAGUAAAACAUUUUGGAAUUUCUCAACAAAUACUAAAAAAACCCUUAAGUAUUAUAAAAUUUGAAGUACAUAAGGCAUAAAUUAUAGCAUAGAAAGUCUCAAAUGUAUAAAUUUUUUAUGUUUUAUUGAAAUAAAGGUAAAGGAAGAGCUUCAGGGGUGUUAUAUUAUUUGACUAGCUAGAAUAAUCAAUAAGAUAAGACUAUGGUUCUAGAGCCUUGUGAUUCCUGAAGCCAGACAAGUUUGGGAACAAGUUUUCUUGUUUCCUUCACUAUUACCCUGGCUCUCGUAUGUCUUUGGUGGUUUCACUGAAUGACUUUAGGUUAGUUUUUGGUAAGCUCAGCCAGCUGAAUGUGCUUGCUGUAACAGUGCCAGCACCGAGGAAAGUACCCUUCACUCUUGAGACUGGCACUCCAGUUUUAAAGUCCAUUUCCAUUGUUUAAAUCACUGUAAGGAAUAUUCAGGGCCUAAUUCUUCCUUUCUUGACACUACUACAGACAGACUUUGCCUAUCUAUCUGCUCUUUAAAUCAAUAUCAAAUCUAAAAACAUUUUGGUUUAUCUCUUUUCUUGUACAGAAGAUUAGUAUCAACAUACGAAACCAGCACAAAAGUGCUCAUAUAGAUAUAGCAUCUUAGGCAUAUCACAGCUGCUUCCAGAUGCUUUCCUAUUAUCAAGACAAUGUGAGAGCCUCCCCCUUUUCCAAAAAGCAAUAUGUUGUUGCAGACACAUCAAUAAAUACACUAUAGCUAUAUUAUCCAUCUAUAAUGGAACUUCCAGAUGAAAAAUAUGAAAUUUCCAAUACUACGAGACAAAGAUGCACAAGAACUCAAAUGUUUUGGAGGUAUGAAAUGUGUUAAAUGACUUGUUCUUCAACGAAUUUUAGGAAAUGUGCAUGAAUGGUAGGUUGCACAGUGAGGAAAAGGAUUUCACUGCAGAUUUGAUAACAUCGUGUAGCCAGACAGCCCCCUGUUGGUUGUAUUGCUGUGGAGAUUCUAGAAAGGAGUUGUGCUUGAAUUCAGCUGUUCAUUGUACUCAACAAGCAAUUUUUUUUCGAUCCCAUAUCACAAAUAGAGUAAGUGGAGAGAGAAGAAAAAUGUGUGUGCUUGAAAAAAACUGCCUUUGAAUCAAGUAUUAUCUUUUAUGUAGAAAAAAAUGUUAAAGCUUGGUUAGAAUGCCUGCACACAGUUUCUUAAUGCCUUUAUAGAAAUUUAUUUCUAAAUUGCUGUAGUAAAAAUGUAGAACAGUAUUUUGUCCUUGUGAUAAAAUUUAAGACUAGCAUGCUUUAAUAUCACAUUCACAGCCUGACUAAGGCAAAGUAUUUAGAUCUAGUUCUGUCAAGAAUGCAGGGGUUUAAAACACAAAAGUUUUUAAGCUGGCAGUGAACUAACCAGGUACAGACUUAUUUAAUGACUGAGACUCUCUUGCAGGCACAUCUAUGAGAGCUUCUAUUUAACAAGGUACAGUUUUACCAAGAAUCUUUGGUGUUUUUAAUCACAUUUGCUUGGCUUUAAGAUGUUUUUGUUUGUGUUUUAAGUUGCUACCAAUGCAACUAGCAGCAUACUUCUAGGUUUUUUUCUCAUGUAUUGAGAAACUGAAGAAAUUCUUAUUCAAAAUGAAAUUAAUGUUUCCUGCUGACAAUUGCAGGACUCUUAUUAGGCAUCUUUGGUGUUUUGGCUUUUUUUUUCCCCAAAGAGUUUGUAAAGAGAACCUAAAAUCUCCCUUGUCACUGUAUAUCCUUGUAGUGAUGGAAUGCUGUAGGUUCUAUAUGAAAUAUAGUACUGGGUGAUACGAGGAUUCUAGAAAGAACUCUGUCACAGAGGUACAGGAUUUUCUGCUCUAAGAUAAUACAGAAGUUCUCUCUUUUUGCAUCAGGUAUGGCCAAGGUUAUAACAGCUCAUCUUCAUUUAAGGAAUUGGAUUUGUGUCUGAAAAUCCAUAGCUGCAACAGUGCUAGAGAAACUGAUGUGUUAAUUAGUUUUCUACUGCAGCACAGAAGACUAGCAUGAUGCCAAGAAAGCCAGAGUGCUGGAGGACUUUUUCUCACUCCUAGAACACAUUAAAAAAUCAGGGAUCAGAUGUCUUGGAAAAGCUGGCAGAAAUAUGACGGUAAGGCUACAUGCUAUAAUUGAAAAGGGGGAAUGGGAAAGAUGGGGACAGAACAAAGAGCUGGUUAAAAUUGUCAUGACUUGCUAAAAUCCCUCAGAAGAGUUUUAAGAAACUAGCUGAAACAAUCCCAAGGCAAGGGGACUCUUCCACAAAACAAAAAACCUGGGUUUCAGAAGCCUGAGGAGAUUCAAGUUCACAUCUCCUGCUUCUGAAAAAAUACCCAGUGGAAGUUGCCCACAGAUGUUCCCCAUCUUUCCUGUUAAAUCAAGGAUAUGUGCAAAAAAGUCACAUAACUAUUUUGUUCAAAGGUUGUUGGCAGUGAUAACUAUUGCUGUUAGCAGAUGAAAGCAAGCUGCAGGUAGGAUUUCAAAGGGUAGUGGAAUUUGCUUUUAUUGGACUAACUGCAGUUCCUUGCAUGUUCCAUAUUCUUUUCCUAAGAUGUUUCCUGAAGUAAUGGUAAAGUCAGCAUACAAUAAAUAUGAGUACCCAUUAAAGCACACUAAAGGAAUACCUUAUGUUUCCAGUAGAUGAACACUGAGAUAAUGAAGUAUUUGUAAAUUACAUCACAGUCCUCUAUUAUGCCAAAUUCUUGAUUUUAUUGCUGAAGAGAGCACCAGUAAAGGUGGCUUUAAACUUUAUUCUCUUAUAUUCUCUAAAUCUGCUGAAGAUGGAAAGCAGGGAGUAGCAUUGAAGAAUUUCAUGGCUGUUCAGCAGCCAGCAAGGGGACUCAUCUCUUCCCUUCUGCAAUCUACCCCCAAACUGCUUUCUUUCUGUGUUUGAAGCAGCUUUUUGAGUCUUUGGGUUUCAGAGUUUUUAUUUUAGUUUGUGUUUUCUUUACAGGAGAGUUUACAUCCCCUCACCAUAAAUUAGCAGCAUAGGUAAGAGCCUGUUCUAGAUUGAUGAAGAUUCAAAUAACUUACCCUGUUCAGAAAAAUUGAAAUAUUCUUCCUCCUCUUCCCAAAUUAGGUUUGAACUUCCGGACUUCCUCAUGGUUCUUGAAGUAUGUUUAAUUUUUAGUUUGUUUAAGUAAUUCUAGCCACUUAGAACAUACAUAUAACUUUCAGAGCUGUUAUAUUGUGAUCCCAUUAUUUUAUGCUUAUUCAGACAUAAAGUAAGUAGCCUGAGAAAAGCAUUACCUUUUGCUAUGAGUGUAUCUCACUUUCCUCUGGAAUUACAGUUUGUGAACAAUUGUCCAGAGCAGUGGACAUUUUUAAUUGUAAUUGACAGAAUCCUAAUUUUAUUUCUAGUUUUUCCUUCUGUACUGUAGGAUCUUUUAAAAACAGCACCUGGUUCUGGUGAUUUAUGGUGUUUGAGUUUCUCAGGCUUCCAAUAGGCUUUUCUUUUGAGACAUCUAGGCCUGGGGAAACUACUGUGAAUCCCCAUAAGGCACAUCCUUGAGACAGGAAUUUCUCUGUCAUCCUUCAUGUUAAAACCAAAUAAUUUAUAUAAAACUUCUUUACCUGUGACACCUUCUUUCAUCUGCCUCUGGAUAUUACAUAGACAAAACUAAAAAAUAUCCUCCUGAAUUCUGACAUCUUUAAGAAUACUUGUAAUUCUUCUGUGUGUGUGUGUGUUGUGCAUUGAUACACAACAUGCAGCCUUUGGUACCCAUGAAUACCAAUAGAGCAGAACAUUUUUCAUCAGAACCUGUGAAAGCAAUAACUGCAUUUCUUUGUGCAAGUGCAGUGUUAAACCAUCCCCUCAUUCAUUAGCCAGUGAUAGUAAUUUUAUUUUUCACUAAUCUUCAUUAGUUUUUCUUACUUUACUUUCUUACUUGUUUAUAUUAACACUUCAAUAAGUGUUAAGAUGUGGUUUAGUUAAGAAACCGUAGCAUCUCUAGUUUGUUUGCUUUGGUUUUUUUUUUUUGCUUUGGUUGGAGAAAUUGCUUCAGCCUAGGAAGAUUUCCAUGUCUGGGCAUACUCCAUGAAUGAGCAUGACCUCCCUAGCAUUCAAACAUUUGCUGUGUAAUAUUGUGGUGUCAUUAAAGACUGUCUACAUAAGAUACACUUUGAGUUGAUGAGCAUCACAUGUAUCUUCUAAGAAGGCUGAGCAAGCGAAACAUCUUGCCUCAAGAUGUCACAAGUGAUACAGGCACCUGGCCUCUGGUUCUAGUUUGUCUGAGCAGAAACACUUGAGAAAGACCAGAGCUCUUUUGCUUUUCUAACUUCUUGUCCUAGGCUGUCAGCAAGUCUCCUAAUAUGGCUAGACCUUGAUUAGAUGGAGAAAAGGAACAGAACAGUUGCAAAACAGAUCCUGAUUUUAUCCUACAUAAAUUCUUCUGAAGCACAGUUCAGACCUGGGAACACCAGGCAGUCCAAUCACACAGAGCUGGAAUUUUCAUGAUACAGUGGUCUACAGUUCUUGGAUUCCUUGGCAGCCAUAAUUCUAGAGAAAUUAUCAGUAACAAUGUGGCACCAAAAUUAUAGCAAGGUUGAAUCACUUUUGAAUCCUUGAGCUUCAUCAGAGAAAUCAAGCUCCUCACUGUCAAAUCAGGCUCAGAAUCGCCCCUCAUAAACUUAAUGGGUGUCUGGCCUUCAGUAUUGAUUCAAGCAUUCUCUACUCUGCUGGUAGUUAGAGAUCAUUUUUUAUAACCUUUCAGCAUCCUGUAGGACUAGUUCCAUAUAAAAUACUCCUGUGCUUAGUCAGAACCAGAAGACUGAAAGGUUCUGUACAGUUCUGUUUAGCUGGACAUCCUACACCAGUAGAAGUAGGUGUGGUUCAGAGAUGGGAACUUCCUGUAUUUUUCAGCAUCUCACAGAUUCAGAAGCAUUAAGGUUGGAAAAGACCUCCAGGAUCUCUAGUCCAACCAUUAACCCAGCACCACCAUGCUUGCCACUAAACCAUAUCCCCAUGUGCCACACCCACAUGCCUUUCGAGCUUUCCAAGGGAUGGUGAUUUCAUCACCUCCCUGGGCAAUCUGUUCUAAUGCCUAACCGCCUUUUCAGUGAAGAAAGUUUUCCUACUAUCCAACCUAAACCUACACUAGCACAACUUGAGGCCAUUUCCUCUCAUCUUGUCACUUGUUAUCUGGGAGAAAAGACGACACCCUGGGAGACUGACUGACACUGUGCUACAACAUCCAUUUAGGUAAUUGCAGAGAACUUGUUUGUUGUUCCAGGUAGCAAGUGACAGGAUGAGAAGAAAUAGUCUCAAACUGUACAAGGUGAGGUUUAGUUUGGACAUUAGGAGGAAUCUCUUCUCAGAUAGGGUGAUUAGAUAUUGGAAUGGGCUGCCCAGGGCAGUGGUGGAGUCACCAUCCCUGGAGUUGUUUAUGAAAAGAUUGGAUGUGGCACUUGGUGCCGUGGUCCAGUUGACAAGGUGGUGUUCAGUUGGUCAUGGACCUCUGGAUUUGAUCUCAGAGGUCUUUCCCAAGCUAAUUGACUCUGUGAAAGCUGCUUCCAAUGACGGCAAAUAUUGACACCUAGAGCAAAAAGGUGCUGAAGUUUGAUCUCUGCUGCAGAAAGAAUUACCUUCUGAAAAUGAGGGUCUCUAGAGUAUUAUUAGUUAAUAUUGCAAAUGCUAAUUUGAAAUGGUAAGCAUUGUUACAGACAUCUGGAAAGGAAUUUAGAUAUGGUGCAGUAGUGACAUUUCCAGAGACAGACAUCUUGAUAAAGAGUAUUUAUGAGUUUUCUGAAGCAAAUGACCUAUUCAAUGCUUUGCAUUCUCUUUGUGUAGACAGGGUUGUACACACUUUUCUUAGAUUCUCAAGACAAGUAAAUACCAGUUGCCAACUACAGGCAUCACAAGACCAUAGGCUUUCCAACCCUGCAGGCCUACAUGCUCUCCAGCAAAGCAGCACAAGACUUAAAUAGGAAAAAAAAAAAAGAAGACAACUUCCUUGUAUAUUGUAAUUCACCUGCUUCUUUCAUCCACAUGGAAGUGUGACUGUUUGCACCAGAACAUUUGGAAUAUUUUUAAAGCUGUACCUCUUCCUUUCAAGCACUGAAAUGGUUUUUUAAUGUGUUAAAGCCUACCAACUGUCACAGAGAUUUGUGUAUUCUAUUUUAGUCACUCAUUGACUCCUUUUGGUCACAAGGUGUUUUAGAUCAUUGGUAGCACUGCUUCUUUUCCUGUGGAAGAGAGAUUCCCUUUUUAUUUCUCAAAAAGGGAUGGGGAAAUAUGGUAUUGAGCCCAUCCCAAUUCCAGUACAAUAUUCGCUUAGGCUGUCCCAGAUCUCAAGAAAUGUAAAUAUGUACAGCUGAAAGAUUGGAUACAGAGAAAUGUUUUCAGCCAGCAGUUUAUCACUACCAAGUUAGAAAGCCCUGAGAGCUCUGAGCUUUCGAAACAGUUAUUUCCACACUGUUACCCACCCUGCCUGAAGGAACUCUGUGGUCUUUCUAGCAGGCGUCAUUGCCUCCAGUAUAAAACCUGCGUGCUUGUCACUGCCUGUUUCAGAACAAAAACCCACAUAUGCAUGCAUGUCCUGAACAUUCCCUAAGUGAUCUAAGAACUGUCAUCACAUCCUUCACUCAUGGCUUUGUCUUGCUCCUGAGGGUAGACAAGAAGUCAGCAUAGAUCCCUGCACAGAACAGAGAUGAUCCAAACCAUAGCAGUCUGAUGUUCCAUUAGCUUUCUGUGACUUCCCAUAACAUUCAGCUUUUCUAUUCAGUCUCGGAGCCUGCCUCAGAAGUUUAUUGAGAGCAUGGAUCAUGGGUCAGAGGGUGGUGAGGCACUGGCACAGGUUUCCCAGAGAAGCUGUGGAAGCCCCAUCCCUGGAAUUGUUCAAGAGCAGGUUGAACAGGACUUGAAGCAACCUGGUGUAGGGGAAGGUGUCCCUGUCCAUGGCAGAGGAGCUGGAACCAGAUAGUAUUUAAGUUCCUUCCAACCCAAGCUAUUCUGUCAUUCUAGGAGUCAGCCUUUCAAUAGCUUAGCACAAGACACUGUUAUAGCACAGCUUAUGAGGGCAAACUAUAGCCAAAAGAGGAGUUGCUCAGAUGUUCCUGUGCCUGCUUGGGCGUUUUCCAGCAGGGAGUGUCCAAAACAUGAAUCUUGCAAAAAGAUGAUUGCCCCUCAUUUUUCCAACAUGUAUUUGUAGAGAUUUUGGGACUGUAUAUCAACAAUGAAGUCUAGAUUGCACUAUCACACUUUAAUUGUCAAAGAAAUCUUAUAAAAUAGAAGCAGAAAGCAGUUUUAGCCUAACCAAUGAUAGAAGAAGCUUCUGUUACAUCAGCGACCAUGCAGGUACAAUGUUUCCCUUACAUUCUUGACAUGGCCAUAUUUAAGCUAUUAAAGUGUCCUGGAGAUCCAUGGUUUACUGAGCCAUCUUGAGAAGAUUAAUAUUUUGAACAACUAUACGUAGCAAAUGAAUAUUAUAUGGCUUAAGGAUAGAAUUUCCAAUGGAGAAAACAAAAGGUAAACCAGUCUGUUCCAGGAAAUACCUUUCCAGUUUAUGGAAAACUAGCAACUUAGUGACAGGGUUAGUGCUCAUUGUAGUGCAACUGGCAUUGAAACAAAGGCCACCAACAGGACAUAUCCAGGAAAUAUUCAGUAGGCUUAUCACCCCAGCACAACCAAAACAGUGAUGUUAUUCUGAUCUUCAAAGUUUAUCUAUUUGACCUCCAAAAUCUUAGUUUUUGUUUCCAGGUGUGAGGUAUCAACAUGACUAAUCCAUCUGAUGCCUGGAUCCUGCAAUGUUUCAUUUCACAGCACAUUUGCAGAAAUUACCUCCUAAAGAGAAAUUUUCUUCUUCAGGUAUGCAAACUAUUACUGGAAGAUAUUCUAUAGAUGCAUUAACCUAACACAUUGGAAAAAAAUAAAACAUCUCUGUAGUCUCAUGAACA